rnacentral:rRNA from 1 species
UGUACCUGCUGAACUUAAGCAUAUCAAUAAGCGGAGGAAAAGAAACCAACAGGGAUUGCCUCAGUAACGGCGAGUGAAGCGGCAACAGCUCAAAUUUGAAAUCUGGCCCCCGGCCCGAGUUGUAAUUUGCAGAGGAUGUUCUGGCGAGGUGCCUUCCGAGUUCCCUGGAACGGGACGCCAUAGAGGGUGAGAGCCCCGUACGGUUGGUCGCUAAGCCUCUGUGAAACUCCUUCGACGAGUCGAGUAGUUUGGGAAUGCUGCUCUAAAUGGGAGGUAUACGUCUUCUAAAGCUAAAUACCGGCCAGAGACCGAUAGCGCACAAGUAGAGUGAUCGAAAGAUGAAAAGCACUUUGAAAAGAGGGUUAAAUAGUACGUGAAAUUGUUGAAAGGGAAGCGCUUAUGACCAGACUUGGGCCGGUUGAUCAUCCAUCGUUCUCGGUGGUGCACUCUGCCGGCUCAGGCCAGCAUCAGUUCGGCGCGGGGGAUAAAGGCUUCGGGAAUGUGGCUCCUCACGGGGAGUGUUAUAGCCCGUUGCGUAAUACCCUGGGCUGGACUGAGGUACGCGCUCCGCAAGGAUGCUGGCGUAAUGGUCAUCAGUGACCCGUCUUGAAACACGGACCAAGGAGUCGUCUUCGUAUGCGAGUGUUCGGGUGUCAAACCCCUACGCGUAAUGAAAGUGAACGUAGGAGAGAGCUUCGGCGCAUCUCCGACCGAUCCUGAUGUUCUCGGAUGGAUUUGAGUAAGAGCAUACGGGGCCGGACCCGAAAGAAGGUGAACUAUGCCUGUAUAGGGUGAAGCCAGAGGAAACUCUGGUGGAGGCUCGCAGCGGUUCUGACGUGCAAAUCGAUCGUCAAAUAUGGGCAUGGGGCGAAAGACUAAUCGAACUUUUUUG